rnacentral:rRNA from 1 species
GAUGAACGCUAGCGGCGGGCUUAAUACAUGCAAGUCAAGGGGUAGCAAUACACCGGCGGACGGGUGCGUAACGCGUAUGCAACCUACCUUUAUCUGGGGGAUAACUCGGGGAAACUCGAGCUAAUACCGCAUAAGAAAGUGAACUGGCAUCAGUUAGCUUUUAAAGAUUUAUUGGAUAAAGAUGGGCAUGCGUAAGAUUAGAUAGUUGGCGGGGUAACGGCUCACCAAGUCUACGAUCUUUAGGGGCUCUGAGAGGAGAAUCCCCCACACUGGCACUGAGAUACGGGCCAGACUCCUACGGGAGGCAGCAGUAGGGAAUAUUGGGCAAUGGGCGAAAGCCUGACCCAGCCACGCCGCGUGCAGGAUGACGGCCCUCUGGGUUGUAAACUGCUUUUAACUGGGAAGAAAGAAGCCCUUGCGAGGGAAGUUGACGGUACCAGUUGAAUAAGCCACGGCUAACUACGUGCCAGCAGCCGCGGUAAUACGUAGGUGGCAAGCGUUAUCCGGAUUUAUUGGGUUUAAAGGGUGCGUAGGCGGUUUAAUAAGUCAGUGGUUAAAGGUAGCAGCUUAACUGUUUUACAUGCCACUGAUACUGUUGAACUUGAGUUGACAGAAGGCAGAUAGAAUUUCUGGUGUAGCGGUGAAAUGCUUAGAUACCAGAAGGAAUACCGAUUGCGAAGGCAGUCUGCUGCAGUCACACUGACGCUGAGGCACGAAAGUGCGGGGAUCAAACAGGAUUAGAUACCCUGGUAGUCCGCACAGUAAACGAUGAUUACUAGAUGUUGGCCAUGCCAGUGUCCAAGGGAAACCGAUAAGUAAUCCACCUGGGGAGUACGCCGGCAACGGUG